AUCUGAGGGCGUUCUGGCUGCAAUAUCUGUCACCCCAUUGAUCGCCAGGGUUGAUUUGGCUGAUCUGGCUGGCUAGGCGGGGUGUUCCUUCCUCCCUCACCGCUCCAUGUGCAUCCCUCCUGAAGCUGCACGCUCGGUUGAAGAGGACGACCUUCCCCGCUAGAGGAGGACCGGUCUUUGGUCAAGGGUAUACGAGUAGCUGCGCUCCCCUGCUAGAACCUCCAAACAAGCUCUCUUUUGACCUAUUCAAAAGUGAUCUUCUUUAAGACGUUUUCCCUGACCUACCCACAGGGUUCAAUCUGUAAUUAUUUACUCCAGCCAAAAUUUUUCUUCAAGUAUGAGUGCCUUU
rnacentral:snRNA from 1 species